GUGAGGAAUAUUGGUCAAUGGACGAGAGUCUGAACCAGCCAAGUCGCGUGAAGGAAGACGGUUCUAUGAAUUGUAAACUUCUUUUGUGUAGGAAUAAAGUGGGUUACGUGUAACCUUUUGUAUGUACUGUACGAAUAAGGAUCGGCUAACUCCGUGCCAGCAGCCGCGGUAAUACGGAGGAUCCGAGCGUUAUCCGGAUUUAUUGGGUUUAAAGGGUGCGUAGGUGGAUUGAUAAGUCAGCGGUGAAAGUUUGCAGCUUAACUGUAAAAUUGCCGUUGAAACUGUCGGUCUUGAGUGCAAAUGAGGUAGGCGGAAUGUGUUGUGUAGCGGUGAAAUGCUUAGAUAUAACACAGAACACCGAUUGCGAAGGCAGCUUACUGGGAUGCAACUGACGCUCAUGCACGAAAGCGUGGGGAUCAAACAGGAUUAGAUACCCUGGUAGUCC
rnacentral:rRNA from 1 species